AUUGAACGCUGGCGGCAGGCCUAACACAUGCAAGUCGAACGAGUGGCGGACGGGUGAGUAAUGUCUGGGAAACUGCCUGAUGGAGGGGGAUAACUACUGGAAACGGUAGCUAAUACAGCAUACAAUAGGAUGUGCCCAGAUGGGAUUAGAUUGUAGGUGAGGUAACGGCUCACCUCGGCGACGAUCCCUAGCUGGGCUGAGAGGAUGACCAGCCACACUGGAGCUGAGCCACGGUCCAGCAUCCUACGGGAGGCAGCAGUGGGGAAUAUUGCAAAAUGGGCGCAAGCCUGAUGCAGCCAUGACGCGUGUGUGAAGAAGGCCUUCGGGUUGUAAAGCACUUUCAGCGGGGAGGCGUUACCCGCAGAAGAAGCACCGGCUAACUCCGUGCCAGCCGCCGCGGUAAUAC
rnacentral:rRNA from 1 species